rnacentral:rRNA from 1 species
AUUGAACGCUGGCGGCAUGCCCUACACAUGCAAGUCGAACGGUAACAGGUCUUCGGAUGCUGACGAGUGGCGAACGGGUGAGUAAUACAUCGGAACGUGCCUAGUAGUGGGGGAUAACUACUCGAAAGAGUGGCUAAUACCGCAUGAGAUCUACGGAUGAAAGCAGGGGAUCGCAAGACCUUGUGCUACUAGAGCGGCCGAUGGCAGAGUAGGUAGUUGGUGGGAUAAAAGCUUACCAAGCCGACGAACUGUAGCUGGUCUGAGAGGACGAUCAGCCCAACUGGGGCUGAGACAAGGACCGGCCUCCUACGGGAGGCAGCAGGUGGGAAUUUUGGACAAUGGGCGAAAGCCUGAUCCAGCAAUGCCGCGUGCAGGAUGAAGGCCUUCGGGUUGUAAACUGCUUUUGUACGGAACGAAAAGCCCCGGGUUAAUACCCUGGGGUCAUGACGGUACCGUAAGAAUAAGCACCGGCUAACUACGUGCCAGCCGCCGCCGUAA